GCAGGCUUCCUGGACCUUGAUCUGCUCAAGGAAUGCAGAGAAUUCCCUUCAGCCACUUAAUGUCCAACAAUGAGAGCUAGUGCUGCCCUUAAAAAUGUUAUCGAACUACAGAUUUUUCUAAAAGACUUUUUAGAACAGGAUUGAAAAAUCUUUUCACAGAUUUUUCUGUUGGCAAAUUGCUUCCAAUCAAAUGAUUAAAAUUAGUUUCACAGAGAUGGUUUUACCACCAUUUGAUGAUCAGCGUAACCUCCAAUUGAAUUCUUCAAUUUCCAGAAGAAAAAAAAGAAAGGUUUCAUUAAAAUCCCCAAACACUGAUUGCACAACUUAAUGUAGAACAAAAAUUUGCCAUAGCAAGUACCUCACUCUCCCCCUGAUCAUUGCCCAAGUAUUUCAAGUAAAAUAAGAAGGAAAACACACUGACCAGCAAACUGUUUCUGAAGCAUCACCUACUACAGAAAGGGAGAUGUUUA
rnacentral:lncRNA from 1 species